AACUGGCAAGUAAACAUGUGAAAACUUGAUCAGCUUCAGUAGCCAUCAAGGAAAGGUAAAUUAUAACAAAAAUUAAAUACCACUACACACCAGAAUGGCUAAAACAAUUUUUUAAAAACUGAUGAAGAUAUGAAGCAACUGGGAUUCAUACAAGUUUGGUGGAAAUCUAAAUUGUACACUUUGGGAAACAGGCUUUUUCUACUAAAGCUGAGCAUGCAUGUUAAUUUUGGGGUUUUUUUGUUUUUUGUUUGUUUUGCUAGUUUUUUGUUGUCGUUUUUGGCCGUGCUGUGCAGCAUGCGGGAUCUUAAGCAUGGAGUCCUAACCACUGGACUGCCAGGGAAUUCCCCUAUUAUUUUGGAUGUGUAAUUGUACUUCUAGGCAUAUAUCCAACGGAUAAAUACAAAUAUUUUUACUGAAAGAGUAUUCACAGUAGUACUAUUCUCAAUAGCCCGGAUACAGACAACAGCACAAAUGUCCACCAACACUAGAAUGGAUAUAUAAAUGUGCUCUAUUCACUCAGUGAUACACUCUACAGGAUUGAGAAUGAACCAACCACAACUGCACGCAUACAAAAGAAACAGCACAAAGGAGUACAUACUAUAUUUCACUCAAAAAGACAAAUUUAAUAUGUGGUGUUGGAAGUUGGGAUGGUAGUUGCCUGGAUGGUGACAAGUUGGAAGGAUUGACUUGAGGGAGCUUCUCUGGUGUUAACAGUGUUCUGGUUUUUUAUCUGUAUAUUGACUGUAGGUGUAUUCACUUGACAAAAGUUAUUGUGAAUAUUUAUAUAUACUCAUAGUUUAGUAUAACUGUUCCUUAAUAAAAAACAGAAAGUCUGAACAUGUUGGCUCUCUGAAAUCCCUCCAAUAGUUUCUCAGUUCUUAAAAAACACAACACAAAUAAGAUGAUUCAUUAGGAUAACAGCAGUAAGUAUGUAUGUGAAGAAUCCCUGUGUGAUGUGCUAAAGGUAUGUGAAUAUAUUACAUAACAUAUUUUGUCCCCUUAGCUAUGUGACAAAGAUUUUUCACGUUAAAUGCUAACCAAUUUCUCUUAAUAUACAUUUUAAGGCAAAUAAUAUUUUACAGUUGUCAAGUUUACCUUACCUAGUAUAUGUUCUCUUAUGGUUUCCUGGCAUAUAUAAGUGGAUAUAGCCAGUGUUUUCUAUUAACUCUUUAAUAAAGAAUUUAAACAUUG
rnacentral:lncRNA from 1 species